CCUACGGGUGGCAGCAGUGAGGAAUAUUGGUCAAUGGGCGGAAGCCUGAACCAGCCAAGUAGCGUGCAGGAUGACGGCCCUACGGGUUGUAAACUGCUUUUAUACGGGAAUAACGCGCCUUACGUGUAGGGCUUUGCAUGUACCGUACGAAUUAGGACUGGCUAAUCUCGGGCCAGCAGCCGCGGUAAUACGGGGGGUCCGGGCGUUAUCCGGGUUUUUUGGGGUUAAAGGGAGCGUAGGCCGCAUGUCAAGCUUGCUGUGAAAUGUCCGGGCUCAACCCGGGCCUUGCCGGGGAAACUGGCGUGCUUGAGUCCGCGGAAAGCAGGCGGAAUUCGUGGUGUAGCGGUGAAAUGCUUAGAUAUGACGAAGAACCCCGAUUGCGAAGGCAGCUUGCUGCAGCGGAACUGACGCUGAUGCUCGAAAGCGCGGGUAUCGAACAGGAUUAGAUACCCGUGUAGUC
rnacentral:rRNA from 1 species